rnacentral:lncRNA from 1 species
AUUCCGAAUGUGCGGAAUUUCAGAAAAUGGAGUGGUGGUUUGGAUGGAAGACUUAAACUACUGUCUGAAAGCGAUCCUGGCAGGCACUGGUACAAUUCAAGAAACUGAGGGAACGGUUGUUAAAGAAGUGAUAAGUCUGAUGAAAGUCUUGAGACUGAAGUGCCAGUUACUGACAGUGAGUUUUGUGACAGUGAUCAGUCUGAAGGAAGUGCCUGUAGUGAAGAGAUGUGAAAAAUAGAGACUGAUAUUCAGCAAUACAAAACUUGGAUCCACUGAUAAAGUGCCAUAUACAGUAGAUAAGAUCUGAAAAUUACUGUUUGUAUUGCCAA